UACGUAGGGUGCAAGCGUUGUCCGGAAUUAUUGGGCGUAAAAGAGCUCGUAGGCGGUCUGUCACGUCGGCUGUGAAAUCCCGAGGCUCAACCUCGGGUCUGCAGUCGAUACGGGCAAACUAGAGUAUUGCAGGGGAGACUGGAAUUCCUGGUGUAGCGGUGAAAUGCGCAGAUAUCAGGAGGAACACCGGUGGCGAAGGCGGGUCUCUGGGCAAUAACUGACGCUGAGGAGCGAAAGCGUGGGGAGCGAACAGG
rnacentral:rRNA from 1 species